ensembl:lncRNA
CGGAUGCAACUCGAUUAUCUCUAAAGACGCGACGCACGAAAGCCUUCAGCAGCGUUUCACAACCGUGACAUGUUGACACUUUAUUUCCCCACAUUUCCUGAGAGCUAUAGCUUUGCAGCUAUCUUCCUCGUUUUGACUUCCUCUUUGCAGCGUGAGGCUCGAUGGUCAAAGGAAUUGUCUUGCGCACGGAGUCAUCACUGCGAACUCCUGCGAGGGGAAGAGGAGCGUCGCAGUCUCACCCCGGCGCUGCUGCAGCGUCGAGAGAUCCCACCACGCAGGUAACGGAUUGCCGUCUCCUUUUCCAACGUGAAAAGUAAAAGACUUGUUUUGUGUGUUUUUCUGAGUGUCUGCUGAUGUUGGCUUGGAGCGUCCUGUUCGUCUUAUUUCCACAGAGCCAUCUUUGAUGUGGCGGGAUCAGGCCCCCCACUUAGUGUAUUUGACAAGCUGAGUUGGACACUCUGUAUCUCUGAGUGUCAGUUUGUCAAAUACCCCAAGUGAGGUGUCACUUGUCUACAAACAGUGACCCGUCCUCGGCCGACUGCACGGACUGACCAGCCGGCUCCCCGCCGCGCUCCGCCCCGCUGACCGGCUCCGGGUUUGUGUGUCGUCAUGGUGUAAUCUGUCAUUUGUUUAUUGGAUCCAACGAAAGAACAGAAACAUUAAUUUAUCCUGUGACAAUCCAAAUGAGUGUAAUGAAUGAUGCAAUAAAGGUUACACAGAGAUUUUUAACCAAAUUGAAGUGUGCCAGUGAAGGAAUGUUCUUUUUCAGUGUUUUUAUUCGUAGGUCUGUAGUCUCUUCACUGCCCAACUCAGCCAAAACAUUUAGGAGAGGUAAGGCUGCUCUGAAAUUCGACCCUCUGUCGUGGUGUGAUUUUCUUUUUGCAGUUUGAAGAGGUUAAUGCGAUACUUUGAUCCAAACUGUUGAAAUCCACCUUCAAUGUGACGUCCGAGUUUACUCAUUUGUUCCAGGCGACUAAAACAUGCACGCUAAUGAGCAUUUUCAAUGGGAUGUGUAUCCAAUUGCAUUUUCUUGUUAUGUAGCAAAUUAAUGCUCUAGACAAAAUGAUCGGUAUCUAAAAGACCAAAUGCAGGACAAGCCUUUUGUAAGACGGAGCAAAGACGGAGCAAAACAUGUAUUCAGUGUCCUCUCCCAUUCAACAUGUGGGAGCCAGUCUUUGCAACUUCAGCAUCAAGAACUGAAGCCUUGUUUUGGAAACUUGAGGUAAAUAAUAAAUACACAAAUGCCCCAAAAUGUUCUCUGAAUCUUUUACAGACUCAUUGUGUGAUAAUAACAUCUGUAAAAAUGUGUAUGACAGUGUAUGAUGUUUGUAGGCAGAUGGGUGAUCUAUUUAUUGUUCUUCUUAUCCUCCAUUUGAUGGCGCUUAUCGGUCCGUCCCCUGUUUCCUGUUCCUGUGGCUGCCCAAGAACGUUGCCAGCGUGUGCGUGCGUGUGUGUGUGUGUGUGUGUGUGUGUGUGUGUGUGUGUGAACAAAUACGUGUACUUGUGUGAUCUUUUAAAUGUCUUAACCUGGUAACCGUUCACCUAAUCAUUGUGGUUGAGAAUCGGCAGAAAAGCAGACUUGCACACUGCCGAAAAGGCGGCGCACAUCCUGCUAUUUUGACACAGUGCAUUUGAAACACUACGCAUUGGGAAAUGGGUGAUGGGGUGCACAGUAAGUGCAUGUCUACUGCUGUGCAUCAUCACACGGGGGGGCUGCCAACAUGUGGUGUAAAUCUUGAGCCCUGCAGAGGAAAGGUUCCAUCCCAACAUCUACCAACACACGGUUGCCAUAAACAACAAGAGGAGUUGUGUUUCAUCUGCACGGCAUUGUGUGCUGCGUGUGAGGAUUUUGUUUUUAAUGAGCAUCCAUUUCCAGUUUCACGGUUAAACUGCUUUCUUACAAUCAAAACACUUUCAAAAAUGAAAUAAAACACUCACGUUGAGGAGAUCUGUCGGACGCUGUCGCGUUGCGUCGAUUGGUGGCUCGACUGUUGGCAUCUCACAUGGUCCAAAUGUCAAGUUGUCGUAUACAUCGCAAGCGGGUUUUGUCCGACCUCUUGAGUGCGGCAGGAAAUGUUCUUAAAUUAACAAGCUAAUAACUAGUCUGUAAGAUUAUCCUUUAUAUUUGUAUAGGCCUAACAUUCAACAUCAGCAAUAGUGUCACCCUCAUCAAACUGUUUACAACCCCCCCACAAAAACACAUUUCAAACAUUAACGGCAUCAAGCUUUUUCUAUAAUUCUUAAAUUCCUGUCUUCCAUCUGUUGCUGCACCUCCACCAGUAAGUGGUGGUAGAGCUCCAUUCUUCGGUUCAAACGUUAGACCAGCCUCACUUUGAAGAAGCUGAUGUUGAGCCUCACAGCACACAAAGAAUCAGUUCUUUGACGUAUUAAUUCUUUGCUGGAUAGAGAAGCUCGCGCCAACAACACAAGUUACAACAAUGUUAAUUCACUAUUAGAAUGAAGUGCGUUGGCAAUAUAUUAAAGAUAUCUACAGGUAUAUUUCAUUCUGAACCACAAUUUAUGGUUUAAUUUGUAUUUGUAAUUUUGAUGUUAUGCAGUAAAUUACUAUUGUGCAAUUUCAAUAUUAAGGUAUCACACUUUACUUGAUCUGCAUUUCAUAUGAGCAAUACUGUGAACUCAAUCGUUCAGUCAGAUCUUAGUUUUUGUUAGUUUUACAGUUUACUUAUUUAUCAUCCCUUUACUAUUUUCACAUCCUAUUCACGGUCAUUGUUUUAUACUGAGGCUAUGGCUGCUUCCCCCUUUGCUUUAGUAAUACUGAUUUAACUAAUAUGGCCUGCUAGGCUCCAAUUAUCGUUCAGCCCUUUGGAAUUUCUGAGAAAGUGCUUUUGAUUUAAUAAACUUUUUUGUGACUCACUCUCACUAAAAAACACGUCUACAUAAGAGCUCCUAAUAAGUGGUGCAAAGCAUUUGACAUUCAGUGUUAUAAUUAAAACAAUAAAGCAACAGCAACACUUUAGGUUAUUGAUGUUACCUGAUAUCCCUUAAAGACGUUAUGCAGAGGGGAACAUCCCUAAGUUCCCUGAAUGCCGUGCUCAAUACAAUUCAUACUAACCGGAUGUUGUUUGUUUGCAGAGAAAGCAAAUACCAUCCACAGCCAACAUAUGGGGUCAAUUAGGGGAAACAUUUCACCAAAGAUUUGGGUCAUUCACUUGGUGCCAGGUGUAAUACAGCUGAGAUGGAAAGGAUCCUCUGAACAAGCAGAACUUCUCUAUAAAAGCAGGGUCCAUAUUCAACUGUAAUUCUGAAAGGAACGUUCAGUCCUGCUGUCUUCACCCCAAUAUUCCUCCACCUGAAAUGGAAUAUAGCACCUAUUACAAGGCUCUCUCUAAUAGGUCCAACACUCUGAAUCAGGUGGCCAGUAAGGAGGUGCUUGUUUCCAGUAUUGUCCUCGAGGCUUUAGGAGAUUGACAACCACGUUGUUUGUCACUAUCGACGUUAAGCAGGAAGCGAACACGUGGACGGUUUCUUUGCAACCAUUCCAGGAAGCUGCUUCAAGUGCCUGAAGUCCCAUCGAAAGGAUGUCGCUGUAUUCACGUCGCUCCAGAGGACUUUGUCCAGUCUCACUUUCUCGAAGUCAACCUCCUUCAAUCCUGUGGUGAUACACACACCCUUGUGUAGCCUCUCUUCAGGAAGGCUGCAGAUUGCUCAUCACCAGGGGAGGUUAGCGGACAGUGGAUGCUACUGUAAAAAGUAAGAGCUGUGUUGUUCUCCUCUAUGAUCUGACACAAGGUGAUGCCGACUGCAUUGUUCUAACAGUUUGUGUUGCAGAUGCUGGUUUGUGCGAGGAACCCAAUUAACCGAGUCUUGUCUGUGUGAUCCACAGUCACAAAGGGUCUGAAGAGGAGGCCGUGGAUCCUGGAUGGAGUCGAAUCCAUUUCAAUCAAUGUCACCAAUUAAUAAUAAGACAAUUAGCAAGUGAUAUAAUACCAAAUUCCUCUCUCC